AGUGAACGCUGGCGGUAGGCCUAACACAUGCAAGUCGAACGGCAGCACAGUAAGAGCUUGCUCUUACGGGUGGCGAGUGGCGGACGGGCGAGGAAUACAUCGGAAUCUACUUUUUCGUGGGGGAUAACGUAGGGAAACUUACGCUAAUACCGCAUACGACCUACGUGUGAAAGCAGGGGAUCUUCGGACCUUGCGCGAUUGAAUGAGCCGAUGUCGGAUUAGCUAGUUGGCGGGGUAAAGGCCCACCAAGGCGACGAUCCGUAGCUGGUCUGAGAGGAUGAUCAGCCACACUGGAACUGAGACACGGUCCAGACUCCUACGGGAGGCAGCAGUGGGGAAUAUUGGACAAUGGGCGCAAGCCUGAUCCAGCCAUACCGAGUGGGUGAAGAAGGCCUUCGGGUUGUAAAGCCCUUUUGUUGGGAAAGAAAAGCAGCAGGUUAAUACCCCGCUGUUCUGACGGUACCCAAAGAAUAAGCACUGGCUAACUUCGUG
rnacentral:rRNA from 1 species